rnacentral:rRNA from 1 species
UACGUAGGGGGCAAGCGUUGUCCGGAUUUACUGGGCGUAAAGAGCGUGUAGGCGGCCACGCAGGUCCGUUGUGAAAACUGGAGGCUCAACCUUCAGACGUCGACGGAAACCGUGUGGCUAGAGUCCGGAAGAGGAGAGUGGAAUUCCUGGUGUAGCGGUGAAAUGCGCAGAUAUCAGGAAGAACACCAAUGGCGAAGGCAGCUCUCUGGGACGGUACUGACGCUGAGACGCGAAAGCGUGGGGGAGCGAACAGG